AAUGCUUCUUUGUAUAAGUGUAGAAUUUUUCCACUCAAAUUUCUAUUGUCUUCUCCUAGCCAUUAGUGUUUUCCCUUUGUUUUCACUCAAAAUUCGGCCCACAACCGUGUUCAUCAACCCGAGGAUAGCACGAAUUUGUCGUUGGUGGUCCCAUUGAGUCAGGAAAAGAAGUUAUAAUGGAGGUCGUCAAAGUGUUACAAUGACAAAUCUCACCAAAUUAGAGUUUACUGCGCUUGACAUCAAUGACAAUAAUUAUUUGUCAUGAGUACUGGAUGCUGAGAUUCAUCUCGAUGCUAUGAAUCUGGGAGAAACCAUCAAAUAAGGAAAUACAACGAUGAGUCAAAAUAAGGCAAAAGCCAUGAUUUUCCUUCGUCACCAUCUCCACAAGGGAUUGAAGAUGGAAUAUCUGACAAUAAAAGGUUCUCGUGUAUUAUGACAAAAUUUGAAAAAGAGAUAUGAUCAUCAGAAAACAGUUAUUCUUCCUCAAGCUCGAUACGAAUGGAUGCAUUUGAGGCUUCAAGAUUUCAAAUUAGUAAGUGAUUAUAAUUCUGCAUUAUUUAAAAUCAGUUCGAAAUUGAAGUUAUGUGGAGAAAAAAUUAUUGAUAGAGAUAUGCUCGAGAAGACAUUCUCUACCUUUCAUGUCUCGAAUAUGCUCUUGCAACAAUAAUAUCGAGAGAAAUGUUUUAAGAAA